rnacentral:rRNA from 1 species
UGCAGUCGAACGGAAAGGCCCCUUCGGGGGUGCUCGAGUGGCGAACGGGUGAGUAACACGUGGGUGAUCUGCCCUGCACUUUGGGAUAAGCCUGGGAAACUGGGUCUAAUACCGAAUACACCUUGCUGGUUGCAUGACUGGUGGGGGAAAGCUUUUGCGGUGUGGGAUGGGCCCGCGGCCUAUCAGCUUGUUGGUGAGGUUAUGGCUUACCAAGGCGACGACGGGUAGCCGGCCUGAGAGGGUGACCGGCCACACUGGGACUGAGAUACGGCCCAGACUCCUACGGGAGGCAGCAGUGGGGAAUAUUGCACAAUGGGCGCAAGCCUGAUGCAGCGACGCCGCGUGAGGGAUGACGGCCUUCGGGUUGUAAACCUCUUUCAGCAGGGACGAAGCGCAAGUGACGGUACCUGUAGAAGAAGGACCGGCCAACUACGUGCCAGCAGCCGCGGUAAUACGUAGGGUCCGAGCGUUGUCCGGAAUUACUGGGCGUAAAGAGCUCGUAGGUGGUUUGUCGCGUUGUUCGUGAAAACUCACAGCUCAACUGUGGGCGUGCGGGCGAUACGGGCAGACUGGAGUACUGCAGGGGAGACUGGAAUUCCUGGUGUAGCGGUGGAAUGCGCAGAUAUCAGGAGGAACACCGGUGGCGAAGGCGGGUCUCUGGGCAGUAACUGACGCUGAGGAGCGAAAGCGUGGGGAGCGAACAGGAUUAGAUACCCUGGUAGUCCACGCCGUAAACGGUGGGUACUAGGUGUGGGUUUCCUUCCUUGGGAUCCGUGCCGUAGCUAACGCAUUAAGUACCCCGCCUGGGGAGUACGGCCGCAAGGCUAAAACUCAAAGAAAUUGACGGGGGCCCGCACAAGCGGCGGANCAUGUGGAUUAAUUCGAUGCAACGCGAAGAACCUUACCUGGGUUUGACAUGCACAGGACGCGUCUAGAGAUAGGCGUUCCCUUGUGGCCUGUGUGCAGNUGGUGCAUGGCUGUCGUCAGCUCGUGUCGUGAGAUGUGGGUUAAGUCCCGCAACGAGCGCAACCCUUAUCUUAUG